UAGUCCACGCCGUAAACGAUGGUCACUAGUUGUUGGGGCUUUAUGCCUCAGUGAUUAAGCGAAAGUGAUAAGUGACCCACCUGGGGAGUACGAUCGCAAGAUUGAAACUCAAAGGAAUUGACGGGGGCCCGCACAAGCGGUGGAGCAUGUGGUUUAAUUCGAUGAUACGCGAGGAACCUUACUAGGGCUUAAAUGUAAGUUGCAUAGACCAGAGAUGGUCUUUUCUUCGGACUACUUACAAGGUGCUGCAUGGUUGUCGUCAGCUCGUGCCGUGAGGUGUUGGGUUAAGUCCCGCAACGAGCGCAACCCUUAUCCUUAGUUGCCAGCACGUAAUGGUGGGGACUCUAGGGAGACUGCCGGCGUAAGCCGCGAGGAAGGUGGGGAUGACGUCAAAUCAUCAUGGCCUUUAUGCCUAGGGCGACACACGUGCUACAAUGGUAGGUACAGAUGGUAGCGAAGCCGCGAGGUGUAGCCAAUCUGAGAAAGCCUAUCCCAGUUCGGAUUGG
rnacentral:rRNA from 1 species